rnacentral:snRNA from 1 species
GUUUUCUGUCACCAUUCAUCA